GGAAAUGGGUUAAUCAAGAUAUAAGAGCUAGCUAGAAAUACCUCACUGCUCCGUGUGCGUCCCUCCCAAAGCUGUAUGCGCAGUUGAAGAGGACGGCCUUCCCCCAAUAGAGGAGGACAGGUCUGCACUCCCCUGCUAGAACCUCCAAACAAGCUCUCAAGAAAAUGUCAGGAUCUUAUUCAUUGAACAAAAGAAAGAAUAAAAGGCUACUCAAUGCAAGGCAUAGUGUGGAUG
rnacentral:snRNA from 1 species